UACGAAGGGGGCUAGCGUUGCUCGGAAUCACUGGGCGUAAAGCGCACGUAGGCGGAUUGUUAAGUCAGGGGUGAAAUCCUGGAGCUCAACUCCAGAACUGCCUUUGAUACUGGCGAUCUCGAGUCCGGGAGAGGUGAGUGGAACUGCGAGUGUAGAGGUGAAAUUCGUAGAUAUUCGCAAGAACACCAGUGGCGAAGGCGGCUUACUGGCCCGGUACUGACGCUGAGGCACGAAAGCGUGGGGAGCAAACAGG
rnacentral:rRNA from 1 species